rnacentral:rRNA from 1 species
CUAAGGCGCUUGAGAGAACUCAGGAGAAGGAACUCGGCAAAUUGACACCGUAACUUCGGAAGAAGGUGUGCCCUAUUAGUGUGUAGUGAACAACGAAGCAUGAAUGGGUUGCAAAAAAUCGGUGGCUGCGACUGUUUAUUAAAAACACAGCACUCUGCAAACACGAAAGUGGACGUAUAGGGUGUGACGCCUGCCCGGUGCUGGAAGAUUAAAUGAUGGGGUGCAAGCUCUUGAUUGAAGUCCCAGUAAACGGCGGCCGUAACGAUAACGGUCCUAAGGUAGCGAAAUUCCUUGUCGGGUAAGUUCCGACCUGCACGAAUGGCGUAACGAUGGCCACACUGUCUCCUCCUGAGACUCAGCGAAGUUGAAAUGUUUGUGAUGAUGCAAUCUCCCCGCGGAAAGACGGAAAGACCCCAUGAACCUUUACUGUAGCUUUGUAUUGGACUUUGAACAGAUCUGUGUAGGAUAGGUGGGAGGCUUUGAAGCAGGGUCGCUAGAUCUUGUGGAGCCAACGUUGAAAUACCACCCUGGUGUGUUUGAGGUUCUAACCUAGGUCCAUUAUCUGGAUCGGGGACAGUGCAUGGUAGGCAGUUUGACUGGGGCGGUCUCCUCCCAAAGCGCAACGGAGGAGUUCGAAGGUACGCUAGUUACGGUCGGACAUCGUGACGAUAGUGCAAUGGCAUAAGCGUGCUUAACUGCGAGACUGACAAGUCGAGCAGAUGCGAAAGCAGGACAUAGUGAUCCGGUGGUUCUGUAUGGAAGGGCCAUCGCUCAACGGAUAAAAGGUACUCUGGGGAUAACAGGCUGAUACCGCCCAAGAGUUCAUAUCGACGGCGGUGUUUGGCACCUCGAUGUCGGCUCAUCUCAUCCUGGGGCUGUAGCCGGUCCCAAGGGUAUGGCUGUUCGCCAUUUAAAGAGGUACGUGAGCUGGGUUUAAAACGUCGUGAGACAGUUUGGUCCCUAUCUUCCGUGGGCGCUGCAGAUUUGAGGAAGCCUGCUCCUAGUACGAGAGGACCGGAGUGGACACACCUCUGGUGUAUCGGUUGUCACGCCAGUGGCAUUGCCGAGUAGCUAGGUGUGGAAGAGAUAACCGCUGAAAGCAUCUAAGCGGGAAACUCGUUUCAAGAUGAGAUCUGCCGGGGCCUUGAGCCCCCUAAAGAGUCGUUCAAGACCAGGACGUUGAUAGGUCAGGUGUGGAAGC